rnacentral:rRNA from 1 species
GGUUAAGCGACUAAGCGUACACGGUGGAUGCCCUGGCAGUCAGAGGCGAUGAAGGACGUGCUAAUCUGCGAUAAGCGUCGGUAAGGUGAUAUGAACCGUUAUAACCGGCGAUUUCCGAAUGGGGAAACCCAGUGUGUUUCGACACACUAUCAUUAACUGAAUCCAUAGGUUAAUGAGGCGAACCGGGGGAACUGAAACAUCUAAGUACCCCGAGGAAAAGAAAUCAACCGAGAUUCCCCCAGUAGCGGCGAGCGAACGGGGAGCAGCCCAGAGCCUGAAUCAGUGUGUGUGUUAGUGGAAGCGUCUGGAAAGGCGCGCGAUACAGGGUGACAGCCCCGUACACAAAAAUGCACAUAUUGUGAGCUCGAUGAGUAGGGCGGGACACGUGGUAUCCUGUCUGAAUAUGGGGGGACCAUCCUCCAAGGCUAAAUACUCCUGACUGACCGAUAGUGAACCAGUACCGUGAGGGAAAGGCGAAAAGAACCCCGGCGAGGGGAGUGAAAAAGAACCUGAAACCGUGUACGUACAAGCAGUGGGAGCCUCUUUUAUGGGGUGACUGCGUACCUUUUGUAUAAUGGGUCAGCGACUUAUAUUCUGUAGCAAGGUUAACCGAAUAGGGGAGCCGAAGGGAAACCGAGUCUUAACUGGGCGUUAAGUUGCAGGGUAUAGACCCGAAACCCGGUGAUCUAGCCAUGGGCAGGUUGAAGGUUGGGUAACACUAACUGGAGGACCGAACCGACUAAUGUUGAAAAAUUAGCGGAUGACUUGUGGCUGGGGGUGAAAGGCCAAUCAAACCGGGAGAUAGCUGGUUCUCCCCGAAAGCUAUUUAGGUAGCGCCUCGUGAAUUCAUCUCCGGGGGUAGAGCACUGUUUCGGCAAGGGGGUCAUCCCGACUUACCAACCCGAUGCAAACUGCGAAUACCGGAGAAUGUUAUCACGGGAGACACACGGCGGGUGCUAACGUCCGUCGUGAAGAGGGAAACAACCCAGACCGCCAGCUAAGGUCCCAAAGUCAUGGUUAAGUGGGAAACGAUGUGGGAAGGCCCAGACAGCCAGGAUGUUGGCUUAGAAGCAGCCAUCAUUUAAAGAAAGCGUAAUAGCUCACUGGUCGAGUCGGCCUGCGCGGAAGAUGUAACGGGGCUAAACCAUGCACCGAAGCUGCGGCAGCGACACUAUGUGUUGUUGGGUAGGGGAGCGUUCUGUAAGCCUGUGAAGGUGUGCUGUGAGGCAUGCUGGAGGUAUCAGAAGUGCGAAUGCUGACAUAAGUAACGAUAAAGCGGGUGAAAAGCCCGCUCGCCGGAAGACCAAGGGUUCCUGUCCAACGUUAAUCGGGGCAGGGUGAGUCGACCCCUAAGGCGAGGCCGAAAGGCGUAGUCGAUGGGAAACAGGUUAAUAUUCCUGUACUUGGUGUUACUGCGAAGGGGGGACGGAGAAGGCUAUGUUGGCCGGGCGACGGUUGUCCCGGUUUAAGCGUGUAGGCUGGUUUUCCAGGCAAAUCCGGAAAAUCAAGGCUGAGGCGUGAUGACGAGGCACUACGGUGCUGAAGCAACAAAUGCCCUGCUUCCAGGAAAAGCCUCUAAGCAUCAGGUAACAUCAAAUCGUACCCCAAACCGACACAGGUGGUCAGGUAGAGAAUACCAAGGCGCUUGAGAGAACUCGGGUGAAGGAACUAGGCAAAAUGGUGCCGUAACUUCGGGAGAAGGCACGCUGAUAUGUAGGUGAAGUCCCUCGCGGAUGGAGCUGAAAUCAGUCGAAGAUACCAGCUGGCUGCAACUGUUUAUUAAAAACACAGCACUGUGCAAACACGAAAGUGGACGUAUACGGUGUGACGCCUGCCCGGUGCCGGAAGGUUAAUUGAUGGGGUCAGCGCAAGCGAAGCUCUUGAUCGAAGCCCCGGUAAACGGCGGCCGUAACUAUAACGGUCCUAAGGUAGCGAAAUUCCUUGUCGGGUAAGUUCCGACCUGCACGAAUGGCGUAAUGAUGGCCAGGCUGUCUCCACCCGAGACUCAGUGAAAUUGAACUCGCUGUGAAGAUGCAGUGUACCCGCGGCAAGACGGAAAGACCCCGUGAACCUUUACUAUAGCUUGACACUGAACAUUGAGCCUUGAUGUGUAGGAUAGGUGGGAGGCUUAGAAGUGUGGACGCCAGUCUGCAUGGAGCCGACCUUGAAAUACCACCCUUUAAUGUUUGAUGUUCUAACGUGGACCCGUGAUCCGGGUUGCGGACAGUGUCUGGUGGGUAGUUUGACUGGGGCGGUCUCCUCCUAAAGAGUAACGGAGGAGCACGAAGGUUGGCUAAUCCUGGUCGGACAUCAGGAGGUUAGUGCAAUGGCAUAAGCCAGCUUGACUGCGAGCGUGACGGCGCGAGCAGGUGCGAAAGCAGGUCAUAGUGAUCCGGUGGUUCUGAAUGGAAGGGCCAUCGCUCAACGGAUAAAAGGUACUCCGGGGAUAACAGGCUGAUACCGCCCAAGAGUUCAUAUCGACGGCGGUGUUUGGCACCUCGAUGUCGGCUCAUCACAUCCUGGGGCUGAAGUAGGUCCCAAGGGUAUGGCUGUUCGCCAUUUAAAGUGGUACGCGAGCUGGGUUUAGAACGUCGUGAGACAGUUCGGUCCCUAUCUGCCGUGGGCGCUGGAGAACUGAGGGGGGCUGCUCCUAGUACGAGAGGACCGGAGUGGACGCAUCACUGGUGUUCGGGUUGUCAUGCCAAUGGCACUGCCCGGUAGCUAAAUGCGGAAGAGAUAAGUGCUGAAAGCAUCUAAGCACGAAACUUGCCCCGAGAUGAGUUCUCCCUGACCCUUUAAGGGUCCUGAAGGAACGUUGAAGACGACGACGUUGAUAGGCCGGGUGUGUAAGCGCAGCGAUGCGUUGAGCUAACCGGUACUAAUGAACCGUGAGGCUUAACCUU